UUUCAGGACAAUGCUAAACUAAGGUCCCACCUGUUCUCUCAGAUGUAGAUGAUGCCAUGGAAUCAGUCUCCCAUGCAAUCAUUAUCCUUCAAUCAAUUUUACCAGAAGAAACAAGCUUUUUUCUCCUACUUCAAUCAACUUACCUUCUGUGGAGAGAUUGAGCCAGCGUGGGGGACAGUGAAAGAGCAUGGGGGAGAAUGAGAGAGCAAGGUUAACGUGAAGGAGAGUGAAACUGACCGCGGCAGCAAUUGAAGUUCCGCAGCAACUGCAGUGGUGAGAUCAGGCAGCCCCAUGUCUCCCAGCAUCUGCGAUGGCGUCAAGCAUGGGGAGAUUAAUCCCAGCACGGAGGAGAUCGAGCCCUUGUGGGGCGUGUGGCUAAGCAUUUAGGAAAGACUGCAAUGUUGAACUUUUAACUUUAUUUCUUUAUUUUUCUACUUUAUACGAAGAAGGACUUUAAUGUUGAACUUUUAACUAUAUUUCCUUAUUUUUCUACAUUGUACCUAAGAUUUUGUACCUAUGUACCUUUGUACCUAAGAUGGGGCCAGGGAUGGUGACAUUGUACACUUUUCCCUGGACUCCUGUACCCUUCUACUUGAGUACACAUGACAAUAAAAUCUAAUUCUAUUUCUA